UACGGAGGAUCCAAGCGUUAUCCGGAUUUAUUGGGCUUAAAGGGUGCGUAGGCGGCUUUUUAAGUCAGGGGUGAAAGACGGUGGCUCAACCAUCGCAGUGCCUUUGAUACUGAAGAGCUUGAAUGAACUUGAGGUAGGCGGAAUGUGACAAGUAGCGGUGAAAUGCAUAGAUAUGUCACAGAACACCGAUUGCGAAGGCAGCUUACUAAAGUUUAAUUGACGCUGAGGCACGAAAGCGUGGGGAUCAAACAGG
rnacentral:rRNA from 1 species